rnacentral:tRNA from 1 species
GGCAACGGUCUGUGGCUGAGUAGAACAGAAUCUGCUUUGCAAGCGGAAGGCCACAGGUUCAAACCCUGGCAUUUCCA